GCCCCGAUAGCUCAACUGGAUAGAGCAACGGUCUUCUAAACCGUAGGUUUUGGGUUCGAUUCCCGAUCGGGGUACUA
rnacentral:tRNA from 1 species